ACAGCCAUAUCACCCUGCAGCCCAAGACUGGUUGCCCACUGAAGCUAAGCAGGGUUGAGACUGGUCAGUACCAGGAUGGGAGACCUUCUGGGAAAACUAGGUUGCUGUUGGAA
ensembl:rRNA 5S_rRNA 5S ribosomal RNA